ACUCCUACGGGAGGCAGCAGUGGGGAAUCUUGCGCAAUGGGCGAAAGCCUGACGCAGCGACGCCGCGUGGGGGAAGAAGGCCUUAGGGUUGUAAGCCUCUUUCAGCAGGGACGAAGCCACUCGGGUUAAUAGCCCAGAGGGUGACGGUACCUGCAGAAGAAGCCCCGGCUAACUACGUGCCAGCAGCCGCGGUAAUACGUAGGGGGCAAGCGUUGUCCGGAUUUAUUGGGCGUAAAGAGCGUGUAGGCGGCUAGAUAGGUCCGUUGUGAAAACUGGAGGCUUAACCUUCAGACGUCGAUGGAAACCAUCUGGCUAGAGUCCGGAAGAGGAGAAUGGAAUUCCUGGUGUAGCGGUGAAAUGCGCAGAUAUCAGGAAGAACACCCGUGGCGAAGGCGGUUCUCUGGGACGGUACUGACGCUGAGACGCGAAAGCGUGGGGAGCGAACAGGAUUAGAUACCCUGGUAGUCCACGCCGUAAACGAUGAGUGCUAGGUGUGGGGGGUGUCGACUCCCCCCGUGCCGAAGCUAACGCAUU
rnacentral:rRNA from 1 species